rnacentral:lncRNA from 1 species
AUGUCCUGGCGCAGCGGCUACAGUAGGCCGGCGGCUGGAACGGCUCGGCGCGGACCGCCGCUGUCGCCGCCCGGGCCGCGGCUAGUUGCUGGCCCUCCCCGGGCGCGUCCCUCAGUCCCUGGUCUCCUGGCCCAGUCGCCGCCCUGGUGCGUCUCUCCCCAGCUCCGGCGGCUCGGUCACUGCUCCUGGCUGUUGGCUGAGCUCUGGAAGCCCCCUCGCCUUAAUGCAGCGCCCGCCGACGUCACUGCGGCCUGCGACCAAUCAGCGCCUCGCGGUCCCUCUGUAAACCAUUCUGCAUCCCCCGGCCCGGGAGAGUGCGGGGAGACCGCGUUUAGAGGAUCAGUGGCGGCGGCACCCGCGGCCCCGCGCUGCGCGGACGGCGGGCACCACCUUGCCCGGGCCCCCUCCUGCUCCGGUUCCAGAAUGAUGCUCGGCCCAUGGACAGAGCCUGCCCAGUCACCCCCGGCUGCUAUUGAUCCCGAGGAUGGUGGCCACCCCUGGCCAUUUCCCUCCUCUCACUUCUGCUCCAGGACAACCCAAGGAGCAGAAAAGAGUGAUAAGGCCAUGAAAGGAGGCAUCUGGGGUGGAGCCGGCUCUAGGAGGUUACCCCAUGCGGAGUACACACCCAGCUACACCCGUUCCGGAGGAGGGAGGAAAGAGCACCCCUGGACUCUGCCGGUCCCAGAGGCCACGCAAACUCCGCCCAGACUCGCAUUGCACCCUCCAGAAAGGCUGAACUUGUUUACAGUUCCGUUAGCACUGGAUGAGAAUGUGGGCUCCUCGGAUUCCAGCCAGCCCUGGGCCACUGCUUCUCUCUUUGAGCCACCAGCUCUCAAUCUGGGGCUUGGCUUUGAAGGGAAGGUUGCUAAGCCUCCUAAAUCCUGAUGCACACCAAUGUCGUUUCCCCACUCAUCUGGAAACCUGGUGGGUCCUGCCCAAACACCUGUCAGUUCCACCUCCUGCUUGGCUGCCACCAUGCCAACAUUUUCCACUCAAGCCUUUCAGCUCUGCUUUGGGCACCUGAAGACAGAGUGAAUCAUCUUUCAAGAGUCAGAAACUUUGCGCAUGCCUUUCCCUCUGGUGAGAAUGCUUUUCCCUUUCUCCCAACUGCCUUAUCAUCAGCCUGCAAAAUAUUUAUUUCUGUUCCUAAAAUCUCAGAUACCACUUCUCCAGGAGCUUUCCCAGAUGCCUCACUUUAUUCCAGAAGGAGCUAUCACCACUUUUGCCUGGCAAGUCCGUUUUCACGGUUACACUUAUACACUAUGGCAAUUUAUUGGUGAUUUGUCUGUCUCCUCUAUCAACAGUGAAUUACUCGUCUAUCCCUGGAAACCUGGAACUGCUCAAUAAAUGUUUGUGGUGUGAAUAUACAUAUUAUUCUCUUCUGCCCUUUGUUUUUUUUUACAUACCUUUCA